rnacentral:snRNA from 1 species
ACAUUUUUUGGAAGAAAUAAACGUCUUCAUCUGUUUUUAUCAGCCUAAUAUCUGAUACGCUCUCUAUUGGGGAGCCAGAAUAUCAAUCUGAUUUUCGGAAGUCGAUGGAGAUACAAGAGGAAUCCAUCCAUUGUAUUAAAAUCGUCCAUUGAUCGGUUUUCAAUUCGUGAUUCG